GACAGAGGGUGCAAACGUUGUUCGGAUUUACUGGGCGUAAAGCGUGUGUAGGCGGCUUCGCAAGUUGGAUGUGAAAUCCCACGGCUCAACCGUGGACGUGCAUCCAAAACUGCGUCGCUAGAGUCUCGGAGAGGAAGGUGGAAUGCUUGGUGUAGAGGUGAAAUUCGUAGAUAUCAAGCAGAACACCUGCGGCGAAGGCGGCCUUCUGGACGAUGACUGACGCUGAGACGCGAAAGCGUGGGGAGCGAACAGG
rnacentral:rRNA from 1 species